UCGAAAUUUUUUUUCAAUACUUUUGUUAGAAAAAGUUAAUUUUGUUUUAUUGUCAACUUUCCAAAAUUAAAAAAAGAAAAUCUCUUUCGUUUUAUCAAAAUUCCUAAAUAGAAAGGGAAUAAAAAUCGCAACUACUUUAUACAUUAUCAUCUAUAUAUAUUCUUAAGUUGUAUGUAUAAUUUAUUUCUCACACAUUAUCCCACCACCUUUCUUCUUGGUUCCUUGUUGUGUGCUUCUGUCAACAAGCAGAGUGUCUCUUUUUAUUUAAUCAUCACUGUCUCUUCUUGUAUUAAGGUAUAUAUUUCUUCCUGUACCACGUAGUGCUAAUUCUUCUAGUUCUUAAUUUUUGCUGCUAAUUUAUUUUUUAAAACAAUUUAUAUAUUGUUAUACUAGUGCUGAUUGUUUUAUAGUUGUGCUGCUAAUUCUUCUAGUUUUUAUUUUUUGCCGCUAAUUCUUCUAGUUCUUAAUUUUUGCUGCUAAUUUAUUUUUGGUUAAAAGGCCCCAUUUUUUAUAUUUGCCUCAAGCCUUUGUAGACUUUCGCACGGCACUGGCCUAUAGCCUACGAAAUGUACCAUUUUUAUUCUAUUGUGAAGGCUUCAUUGGUUUAAGCAUGAGAAUUUUUUUAUUUUAUUUUUGGUAAUCCCAAUCAUGAGAAUUAUGUAGAUUUUAUGUUACAUUCAUUUUGGUGUCAGAACCACUUAGCACCAGAACAAGAUUUACCAUUAGUUUUUGUUGGUUUCUCAUUCUCUAUGACGGUGUGGGAGAAUUUGACAUAAUGGAAGCAAAUGCAGCAAAACUUGAGAAGGAUCCGAUUAUGAAAGCGUUAUAAAUUAAACUCUAGAUUUUCUAGAAUUUCUUGGAUCAACGAAAAAGUUUGUCAAAAGACUUGAAAGCUGCACUUGCUGCAGCCUGCAGUCACAGCCAACGGUGAAUCCAGAAAUGGGUUUUGAACCCAGGUUUGUGGGUUCACUUUGGACUUUCUGAACCAAAUACAAUAGAGUCAACUAAUGAACACAGCUUAAAAAUGUAAUUAUUUGUAUUUUUUGUGGUGUCAACUGACCCCACAACCUUAUAUGUGGAUCCGCCCCUGGUCACAGCCGGUGAGAAUCUCACCCUGGGAUGCAUGGAAAUCCCUGAACAUCUUCGUGGUUUUAAUUGGUUUGAUCAUUAGUGGAUGUUGUUUGCUUCUUUCGUAAACAAACCCAUAAUGAUUAGAGUGAACUGUCUGUCUGUAUGUCUCGAUUUGACUCAAUAAAUGUGAGAAACAAAUAUCAUGAAAAAGUAAAGCUUUUUGUAAUGAUAAUUAAUUAUGGGAGCUAGUGAAGGGCAUUGCUCAUACUAUGAUUUAAGUGGUGAGCAAUAUCAUUAUUUAAUGAGCUUUAAUCAAUGUAUUUAAUUAAAGGGUUAGAUUAACUGUCUAAUUGAUUAGGUGAUCCGUAAUCAAUAACUCCACUGGACUAUGUUAUCUUAUGAUAUACUUUUUGCUGGUAAACCUAGAAGUAUCUUUUUAUAUAUUAAGCGUGUAUCACUCCUGCAAUGUUCUUGAUUCUCAAAAUAGGAAACUGAAAACACAUUCAGACUGUACUGCGAACACAAAAACAUUCUCUCUAUACAAGUUUGGAGAUGACGUCGAUAUCAGGUUCAUAAUGAUCAAGUGGCCAAGUCUUUUGAGGCAACUUAACAUCUUUAAUAAACAAAACGUCACUGUCUUAGUGUUUACAACAUAGAUAUCCUCGUGUUCUCUUCGUAUUGGCCAGAGUGUGGGGCCGAUGAGACACUGAAAACGAAAUCCAAAAGUGGAACAAGAAGAGCGGCGUGGGUUAGCAAAAUCUUUGUCUCAUACUAAAACUGUUUCAACGCCAAACACGUGGUCUAGCUUUUCGCCGUGUCGACUAUCCGACGGUACCUUCGUACUUUAAAAUUAGGUUUGGUUUACUCGUCUCGUCUCAAUAAUCCAAAAGACAACGUCUUUCUCCUAUUUAUUAGUUUAUUUUUUAAAUAGUGUAGCUGCUUUAUCAUCUUUUAAUUUUUUUAUAAUACCUUCUGUGCUUUGCUUAAAAGGAAAGAACUUCCUCAGAGAUGCAGAUCAAGCUCCAGAGAGGAAAAAAAAACGAAGAUCUCUUUAACACAAUAGUAUAAUAAUCAGCCGAUUGAUCUUUGGAAAAAUUUGUCGUCCAUGUAUGGCGGCUGGGCCGCCGUGCUUCUGGUUUGACGGUUAAACUCACUUAAGCCAUGGUAAAUGUAACUUCAGGCUAAAUAAUAUGGAGAAGGGGACGAUCAGGAGUUUUCUUUAGCAAUCGGUGGGCUUUUCAGAAUAAAGAUGGAAUAUACCUAUAUUAAGUUCAUAUUCGAUAUAAGUUUUGCUCAGUGGAUUAUUUUCACCAAAGUGGGGCUGGUAUUGCAAUCUUAUAUCAAUAUAUAGUUGGGGUUAGUAGUAUAAAGCACAAGCAUCAAGUGUAUUUGAAUAUUCUCCAUUUAUGUCUCGUUCAUCCCGUCUUAGAAAUGCGGCAUUACUUCUCUAAAGGUGUGUCAAAAGGCAAGUCAUUUUUUCUGGCUAUCAAUUAAUAUAAUGCAGUAUGGAUUAUUUUCUU